AGAAAGAAGAAACAAUGAAGAAAACAGAGCUCACCAGUUCAUUUACCUCUUGAAUGGAGAAAGGAUUUCCAUUUCCUGUCCUAGCACUUCCCUUGGGUGCCUGGAUACUAAACCCUCUGAAGACUUGAUGGUAGUGGCUUAUAAUGUGCAGAAAAUAAAUCAUUCCCCACAUGUUGACCCUUAGACUAUCAUACCUUGGUGUUUUCCUUUUACACAGUGGUGAUAAGUAAGGCCGAUUGACUGAUACAGAAGAAUCACAGUUUCAUUAGGCAGCUUUGUGACUGCUUUCUGGGCCCUGGCUGGGUGUAUGGAAUAGCUGAGUAGUCGAGGGGCUCCAUGCUUUCAUCAUGGGUGGUCAGUGGAUAAUUCUAAACCCGUGAGCACUGUACAAAAGUAGGACAGAGUACAGCGGGUCCAGGGUGAGUGGAAGCAUGACUGACACUUUAUGUCAUGGUCACUUGUUACAUAUGAGUACUGCAUAUGUGGACAAGAAGUAAGACAUAUCAUGCUAUGUGGGGAGAUGUACAUACUCAUUGCUUUAUAUAUUCACACUCUUGAAUUAUGUGUGGAGUAUUUUUUUGUUUUUUUCCCAUUUUCCCUCUAAAAGAAACCUUUUUUUCCUGAUGGUAUUAGUAACAUCUUUCAACGUGAGGAAAAUAUUCAGGAAAAAAAAAAUUGUCUGAAGCUGUACAACCAAGAGAAAACCAUGUUUGACACUUAUUCUUUUUUUAAUGGUACAUUGUGGGAAUUGAGGGGCAUUCCUUUCAAUUUAGGAUACACAUGUAUGAUACAAGCUUGUGUUUGAAUUUUUCAAAACUUGUGGUAGUUUUUCCAUGUCAUAAAAUAUUUUUUGAAAAUAUAACUGUUGCAUUGAAUCUUUGGUAUUGAUAUAUAUAAUUUACUUAACCAUUCUAGAAUAGGUAAGCCAUUUCUAGUGUUUCAUUGGCUUUGGUGAGCAUAAAAGUUACGUUUACUCAAAGAACAGGCUGUGUUUUAAUCAUUUAUGUUAUUUUAUUUUCUCCUUUGAUGAAUUUAUUUUUUUUUAGUUAACAUAAUUGCCUUUACAUACUGUGUCUAUCUGGAGCCCCAUAGAGAACACAGCAGCCUAUAGGAUGGGGCCGGAAGAGAAUUUGUUUCUCAGUGUGCAGUCACUUCCACAGAGCUAUGCUGAUGCCACAUCACCUCCUCCAGGACUAGCCCAGUGUUUUGGAAGCUGAGAAAGGUGCUAAUAGAAGGGAGAAUGGCAUCUUUCUCUUUGCCAGACUCCCAACCUCCCCAUGCCUUUGGAGUUUCCAGAAAUGUUUCAUUAAAAAUAAAAAUUCACUUCCCCAGUCACCCUUGUUUUGCAUCCAUUUAGUAGUAGCGAAAUGAAAUUAUCGAGAUUCUGUUCAGAGGUUGGGCCUCAGUCCUGCAGUGGAUUGAAGCAGACAGCUUCGCACUCCUGGGAUGGGGUGGGUUCUCUAGGCGGCACCUCCUGCAAGAUUGGUAUGGUGUGCAUCUGUCAGGCAGUAAUUUGGAAUUUGCAGGUUAGCAAGUGACACCUGCCUGCCCAGAGAGCCCUGCCUGAUGUCUGUAGGGAAGUGGUGGGUCCUCUGGGGAGGCCCUGGGGCAGGAAGGCCCAGGGUGAAGUAGGUAUUUCCAGGCCCUUAGUGAGCUCUACCACGGGGCCAGGAAUCAGUGGAUGCCACAUGGAGGAUUUUGCUUUAUUUCUAUUUGUAUUGAAAAUGGGGGCUUUCUGUCCUAGUUAAGGAACAUGUUCUUUCCAUUGUUCUGAAACAGCUCUUGGAGGUUAACAGGCUUCUACUAUCCAAGCAGAGAAGUGGCACAAGGCAUAUUCAGCAUAAUCAGCUAUUUUGGCCACUGAACAAUUCUUUUUUUUUUUUUUUUUUUUUUAACUAGGCUUAGAUGGAAUGGAAUGGUAAAAUGGAUAAGUUUAUGAAACAUAUGAACUCCAGAAUUUAUUUUAAAUCCAUUCAGUGUGAAUUUAUCAUUUUCCUUUCACCUUGGCUGCUGGUCAUUUUGAGGUCUCUCUUAAUGUACUCACUUGUCCCCAAGUGUCGUUUGGUGCCUCUUCCAUGCAUGUGGCAGCUUUCUGUCUGUGAAAGGGAGUACGUAUUAGAAGGCCUGUAUUUGUUUUUGUGGGUAUGUUCAGGGAUUUUUUGAGCCUUGGUGUGGGGGUGUGGUGAACGACAGCUUUUGCAUUCACAGUGGGCACUUCGGCUCUAAGAAUCGUGUAGGUACAUCUGUGCUGAUUUGGAAAUUGUUGGUUGUAUGUUGGUUUUUUUCCCCUAAGUUACAUGAUACUGCGUGUGGUGUGAUCCCAUUAUGGAGA